rnacentral:rRNA from 1 species
CCUACGGGAGGCAGCAGUGAGGAAUCUUGGUCAAUGGGCGCGAGCCUGAACCAGCCAAGUCGCGUGAGGGAAGACGGUUCUAUGGAUUGUAAACCUCUUUUGUCGGGGAGCACAAGACGCCACGCGUGGCGUUCUGCGAGUACCCGAAGAAAACGCAUCGGCUAACCCCGUGCCAGCAGCCGCGGUAAUAUGGGGGAUGCGUGCGUUAUCCGGAUUUGUUGGGGUUAACGGGUGGGCAGGGGGAAGAUAAAGUCAGCGGUAAACUUGAGAGGCUCAACCUCUUCGAGCCGUUGAAACUGGUAUACGUGAGUGAGCGAGAGGUAUGCGGAAUGCGAGGUGUAGCGGUGAAAUGCAUAGAUAUCGCGCGGAACUCCAGUUGCGAAGGCAGCAUACCGGCGCGCAACUGACGCUCAGGCACGAAAGUGUGGGUAGCGAACAGGAUUAGAUACCCUAGUAGUC